rnacentral:snRNA from 1 species
AGAAGUUUAUGGCCCCAUGUGCAAGGAUAACACACAAAUUUGUGAAGUGUUUCCAUAUUUU